UGGGGAAUUGUUCGCAAUGGGCGCAAGCCUGACGACGCAACGCCGCGUGGAGGAUGAAGGUCUUCGGAUCGUAAACUCCUGUUGCCCGGGACGAAUGGCUUCGACCUAAUACGUCGGAGUAUGACGGUACCGGGUGAGGAAGCCCCGGCUAACUCUGUGCCAGCAGCCGCGGUAAUACAGAGGGGGCAAGCGUUGUUCGGAAUUACUGGGCGUAAAGGGCGCGUAGGCGGCCUGUUAAGUCGAACGUGAAAUCCCUGGGCUCAACCCAGGAACUGCGUCCGAUACUGGCUGGCUUGAAUCCGGGAGAGGGAUGCGGAAUUCCAGGUGUAGCGGUGAAAUGCGUAGAUAUCUGGAGGAACACCGGUGGCGAAGGCGGCAUCCUGGACCGGUAUUGACGCUGAGGCGCGAAAGCCAGGGGAGCAAACGGGAUUAGAUACCCAAGUAGUCCCUGAGCGGGCUGGCAAGGCGCAU
rnacentral:rRNA from 1 species